rnacentral:lncRNA from 1 species
CUUCAGCGUUCCUUCUUGGCAACGCCAUCUUUGUCCCACCCAGGCCGACCUGCUCUUGUUCACUUCCUGCUGGGGAGCCAACCCCUUCCUCAUGUCGUCCGCCUGACGUGUGUUGUUCCACACGCUGCCAGUCCCUCACUUGUUGAGGUCUGCUUGGCCCCAGCUGUUCAUUUACGGAGGUCUUCGUGGCUGCCCAGACCAGUUCUGUUAGUAAGAAGCAGAACUAAAGGCGACCCCGGCGGGCCCAGGAGAAACGACGAGCAACCAGACACAGUACCUGCAGAGCUCGGAGUUCACGGCCUCCCUGCCUCAGGAGCUGCUGCGUCCGUCCACCUCGAGCCUCUGGCUUCUGCCUUACCAGCUUUCAGGGUUCAUGUGAGCAUUUCUUUUUCACACACACUUUGGAAAGGACCGGAGUCGGGGUGGGCCCAACUGAAAAACCAGAUUGAGUUCAGGGUGCAGCUGAUUCUGAUGG